GGCUGCUGUGAGGACUGGAUCUCUGUACCUGAUGGGGACAGGAGUGUUGGGUCCGCUCUCUGACGGCUCCCUUUGAAAUAAUCCUGUUACACCUGGGAUUUCCAUACUUACAACCUGCAAAAACAAAAAAGUGUUGUAAGCCCUCCAGAAGCAAAUCUAGGACAUCCUUCCCUGAAUGAACGCUGGGGUAUCUGGAGAACUGACGUGAGAUCGUGUUGGGCUUCAUUCUGGAAGAAGGAAUACUGCAUAGAUUCUCCAUAACAUUACCACAGAGAUACUAUUGGGGAAGAAAGAAAAAAGGUCAUACAGAGCUGUUCCUUCAAUGCACUUACAAUUGAAUAAGCUACAUAGGCGACAGGCACUAUGGAGCUAUCCUGGCUGGAAAAAUCAUGGCUUCCCUCAUCAACAUUCCAGUGCAGAGACGUUGAAGUACAGAGGAGUUGCUGUAAAGGUCCAUGUGAGGACCAGUGCCUUGCUUUCCUAAGUCAGGAGCUUCCUUCUUAGAUUUCAGGACCAUGGAGAAUGUCGGAGAAAGGCCUUCAGAGAGUGUCUGGUCAUCAUCUCCCUACCUGCUUUUGGAUGGAGGAGCACAGACUCGAUGGAGGAUGAAUGGGGGGCUGAUGAAAAGCCACCAGACUUCACAUCUAGGUGUCUUUAUCAGAAGUUAAGUUCUUUGGUUUUGAAUCAAGAUCCUAAGGUACUGUAUUGUUGUAUUUCCACACAUUGUGUCUAGAAGUCUCGAGGACCUUCCUGAAGAGAGUUGGAGAGUGGAUGAGCAGUAACCAUGGCAAAACAGACAGGUCCCUGACAGCGAUGGCCAAGUCGUCAGGCGCUGCCCCUCACUCUGUGGGAAAGGUUAACUCCUCCUGCACAUCAGGAUUGUGAACGCUGUCCGAUGGAGUGUGAGCAUUGUUGGCCAGGGCUGGAAGAAGGGCUCUGCAGAUGAUGAGAAAACCGCUACUUCAGAGAUGUGAAGAAACUCAGAGGUCAUACCACUAAUAAGUGGCUAAGAGCAGUUGCAGGUCACUGUCAAAAGUUGUGAGUUGAUAGGAGACUGUGAUGAACUUAUGUAGGAGACAGACGCAGGAGUAACACCAGACCACAGAGAAUUCAACACUACUUUUUUCCAAAAGACUUAGAAAAAUCUACAGACCUGGAACACUGAGCCUGGGAAGCUGCCUAGAGAGAACACCAUCCCUCCCCUUCUCACCCUGUCUCCUGCCACACAGACGCAUUGCAUUAGUGAUUUGGUCACUGCUGAGCUGUCUUCAUUGAAUGUGGUUUUUGACAGAAUAGUGGGUGUGAAAAUUUUAUUUUCAAUUAAACUUACUAGUUGGACUGCCUUGGUUUUAAAAGGAUUCCAUUAGGAUGAUAAUUAUACAGCAGUGGCUACAAGGAGAGAUUUGCCCUCAAUUUCAGCUCUUAGGUAAUUCAAAUCAAAUGCUUCACAUCUUCCUCUCUGAAUGAAUCAUCUCUCUGAGACAGCUGUGUAGAGCCAUUUCUCUCCCCAGCUCCAGGCUUCCCAUGACUUUAUUUUUAGAAAUUCAACUCAAAACAGCAAUUGUGGUAGAGGCCAUUUCUAGCCUAGUAGAGGAAGCCAUAUAGACUGAUAGAAACAGUGUGGGGCCGGAGCCUUUAAAGAGCAUCAGAACCACCUCUCUGUGGGGUUAAGUAGUUAAGAGCUUCAAAUCUUGUCCUUUGUCUUCAAACUCUAAAAUCUAGAAACAAUGGAGAUUCCUUUUAAGACUCACAUGGAUUUUCAAGUGAUGGCCAUUAAUCACUGUGUUUCAAGAUGGCAGCUGGUGCAGCAUUUCCUGGGGGCCCUGCUUUGCCUUCUGGAUUUCCCCGUGAAACAUGAAGAUCAUCGUCUUUACUUUUUCGUUUUGCCUUGUUCAAAUGUUGAUUGUGGGAAGAGGCUGAACUUUUCACCUUGUUGCAUGCCCGGCAUUUGGUAGUUGCUCAAAUAAUAAAUAAACAGAAAGAUAAAUUCUUAA